UGAGGAAUAUUGGUCAAUGGGCGAGAGCCUGAACCAGCCAAGUAGCGUGCAGGACGACGGCCCUAUGGGUUGUAAACUGCUUUUAUGUGGGGAUAAAGUGCGUGACGUGUCAUGCAUUGCAGGUACCACAUGAAUAAGGACCGGCUAAUUCCGUGCCAGCAGCCGCGGUAAUACGGAAGGUCCGGGCGUUAUCCGGAUUUAUUGGGUUUAAAGGGAGCGUAGGCUGUCUAUUAAGCGUGUUGUGAAAUUUACCGGCUCAACCGGUGGCUUGCAGCGCGAACUGGUCGACUUGAGUAUGCAGGAAGUAGGCGGAAUUCAUGGUGUAGCGGUGAAAUGCUUAGAUAUCAUGAAGAACUCCGAUUGCGAAGGCAGCUUACGGGAGUGUUACUGACGCUUAAGCUCGAAGGUGCGGGUAUCGAACAGG
rnacentral:rRNA from 1 species